UGGGGAAUUUUGGACAAUGGGCGAAAGCCUGAUCCAGCAAUGCCGCGUGUGUGAAGAAGGCCUUCGGGUUGUAAAGCACUUUUGUCCGGAAAGAAAUCCUUGGCUCUAAUACAGUCGGGGGGAUGACGGUACCGGAAGAAUAAGCACCGGCCAACUACGUGCCAGCAGCCGCGGUAAUACGUAGGGUGCAAGCGUUAAUCGGAAUUACUGGGCGUAAAGCGUGCGCAGGCGGUUUGCUAAGACCGAUGUGAAAUCCCCGGGCUCAACCUGGGAACUGCAUUGGUGACUGGCAGGCUAGAGUAUGGCAGAGGGGGGUAGAAUUCCACGUGUAGCAGUGAAUGCGUAGAGAUGUGGAGGAAUACCGAUGGCGAAGGCAGCCCCCUGGGCCAAUACUGACGCUCAUGCACGAAAGCGUGGGGAGCAAACAGGAUUAGAUACCCUGGUAGUCCACGCCCUAAACGAUGUCAACUAGUUGUUGGGGAUUCAUUUCCUUAGUAACGUAGCUAA
rnacentral:rRNA from 1 species